UGGGAAAAGAAUAUUGAUUCACAGACCAGCCACUUUAAUAGAAAAUUCCAAGUUGCUUGGGAACCACAAGUUAGCAAUUGUUUGGCCAAGACAAGAGACGGUGUCUGGGAAUAUUUGGGGUCCCUGCUUGCAGAGCUUGGAAACGGGGAAACAGUCCCCUCUGGAGGUCGACAACUCAGGCUCCACAGCCAGAUUCAUCUGGGUUGGUAUUCAGCUCCACUGCCUAGCUGUGCGACCCGGAGCAAGCCAGCUCUUCAAGCAGGGGGACAGUGUCACACUCCACAGGAAAGAACAUAAGGUUUAGAAGGAGGGGCCUCGGGUUCAAGUCCCAGCUCUGUGACCUACCAGCCUGUGUGACCUUGGCGCUUCACCUAAGUAUCGGGGAGACUGAUGCAGGCAGGCAAGCGGUCUGCUUAGCGGAAGGAGAAUCUACUCAGGACUCAAGCCCUCCUCAGGUUCGCAGAGAUGGUGCAGAACGUUCCGG